rnacentral:misc_RNA from 1 species
GAAAUGCGAUAAGUAAUGUGAAUUGCAGAAUUCAGUGAAUCAUCGAAUCUUUGAACGCACAUUGCGCCCUUUGGUAUUCCGAGGGGCACGCCUGUUCGAGCGUCAUUUAAACCAUCAAGCCCAGCUUGGUAUUGGACUCGGUCGAGUGACCCGUCCGUAACCCGUUGGCGGUGCAGUCCGGCUUCAAGCGUAGCAGAAUUUUCGCUUCAGGAGUCCGAACGGUACCCGCCAGGUAAUGGCCACCUUUUAAAGUUUGACCUCGGAUCAGGUGGGGAUACCCGCUGAACUUAA